rnacentral:lncRNA from 12 species
GGCUUCACAACACCCAGCUCUAAGUGUCACUAGCCCGCAGAGGAACAGGAGUGACCAUAAUGCUCAGAAAAUCCCCCCAUUCGCUACGUCAAGCUCUUCCAGCGACACAUCAAGCAGCUCUUCACUUUCAUCAGAACCAACCAGCCAGAUCUCCAUGGUUCAGGAUCAAACCCUGCUGGACAUCACCUCCAUCACUAGAUUGGCCCCAGGGGAAUCACCAAACCCUCAAGCACUCGAGCAAAGAGAUACAAAUUCAGCAAUAUCGUGUUCCAGCCCACUGGGAGCAAGGACUAUUCCAGCAUCUUGCCCAGCCAGCCUCAGGCUCAAUCUAACACCCAGCUCAGCCAAGCCACAGCAAUACUCUGACUCCUCUGCAGUCAGCCCAGGGAUCAGUGCAGCUUCCUUCUCCACCUUCUGUCCUCACUCAGCACAAAACGUACGAGCUUCAGCUUCAGAUCACACACUGACCCCAACCAGGACAAGCACAAGGCCUCCAGCAGCAGCGACUCCUGAAGAGAGUUCCCAGGCUCCUGGCUAUUCUAAAACGGAAUUAAAGAAUACAGGAAAGGGGUUUGAAUCAGAUCUGGAAGAUCCUGAUCAUGAGAGGAGAUUUGUAACCACACAGCAGUUCCAAGCCAUGGAGAAAGAGCUAGAGCACGUGAAGGAAGACCUGAACUGCCUGAAGUGGAAGGUGAGGCACAUCGGGGAGACGGUGCAGCCGCUGGCCGAGGACAGCAAGAGGUACAAUGGCUACACCCUGAGGGAGCUCAGGGCCAUGGUGCAGUUCGAGGAUGACCCCUACAAGGCUGCCCACAAGAUCCUCACCGCCCUCUUCAGCGAUGUCUACUGGCCCCAGCAGCCAGCUGCCGAGCAGGCCUGCAACUCCCUGCCCAAGCCCAGGAUAGACCCAGAGCUGUACAGGCUCUACUGCGACGUUCUGAAGAGCAUAUUCCCUGGAAUCAGCAGCCAGACCUUGAGGGAAGAGACACAGCCCACGCAGAAAAGCACACAGAGAGCAGUGCAGUGACAGCAGAGCAGUGACAGCAGUGCAGUGACAGCAGAGCAGUGGCAGCAGUGGGGUGACAGCAGUGCAGUGGCAGCAGGGCAGUGGCAGCAGGGCAGUGACAGCAGUGUGGUGACAGCAAUGCAGUGGCAGCAGGGCAGUGGCAGCAGGGCAGUGACAGCAGUGUGGUGACAGCAAUGCAGUGGCAGCAGGGCAGUGGCAGCAGGGCAGUGACAGCAGUGUGGUGACAGCAAUGCAGUGGCAGCAGGGCAGUGGCAGCAGGGCAGUGACAGCAGUGUGGUGACAGCAAAGCAGAGCAGUGGCAGCAGUGUGAUGACAGCAGUGCAGUGGCAGCAGAGCAGUGACAGCAGUGCAGUGACAGCAGUGCAGUGGCAGCAGGGCAGUGACAGCAGAGCAGUGACAGAAGUGGGGUGACAGCAGAGCGGUGACAGCAGUGCAGUGACAGCAGAGCAGUGGCAGCAGUGGGGUGACAGCAGUGCAGUGGCAGCAGGGCAGUGGCAGCAGGGCAGUGACAGCAGUGUGGUGACAGCAAUGCAGUGGCAGCAGGGCAGUGGUGCAGUGGCAGCAGGGCAGUGACAGCAGAGCAGUGACAGAAGUGGGGUGACAGCAGAGCGGUGACAGCAGAGCAGUGGCAGCAGUGCAGUGGCAGCAGUGUGAUGACAGCAAUGCAGUGGCAGCAGUGUGGUGACAGCAAUGCAGUGGCAGCAGGGCAGUGGCAGCAGAGCCCUCGGGUGCUGUGCAAGGUGUGAGCCCUGCGGUGGCUCCAGAGGACUGGACUGUGGCAGGUGCCCUGGGCUGAGUCUGUCCCUUCUAGGUACAGAUUGUCUGUGAAGGUGUUGGUGAGCCCUGAGCCCUCAUGACACUUGCCCAGUGACACAGAGUGGGAGGGCAUCCUGCACUCUUCCCACAUUUUAGAAAACAAUUGCUCCUUUGGUGUCUCUUUCAAUCUGUGGACGUUUCCUUGUUUCCACAACUACAAAUGCUGACAAAAGAAUCCCACGAAGGCAUUGUACGUCCAAGCAAGGGCCUUCUCCCAGCCCCAAACAGACCAACCAACCAGCAUCUGGGUAGUUUCUAUUUUCUAGAGUGUAUCAUUCAU